AUUGAACGCUGGCGGCAAGCCUAACACAUGCAAGUCGAACGACUGGCGGGCGGGUGAGUAAUGUCUGGGAAACUGCCUGAUGGAGGGGGAUAACUACUGGAAACGGUAGCUAAUACCGCAUACCAUCGGAUGUGCCCAGAGGGGAUUAGCUAGUAGGUGGGGUAAAGGCUCACCUAGGCGACGAUCCCUAGCUGGUCUGAGAGGAUGACCAGCCACAGUGGAAAUGGGACACGGUCCAGACUCCUACGGGAGGCAGCAGUGGGGAAGAUUGCACCAUGGGCGCAAGCCUGAUGCAGCCAUGCCGCGUGUAUGAAGAAGGCAUUCGGGUUGUAGAGGACUUUCAGCGGGGAGGCGUUACCCGCAGAAGAAGCACCGGCUAACUCCGUGCCAGCCGCCGCGGUAAUUC
rnacentral:rRNA from 1 species